AUUAUUUUGGCAGAUUAGUGUAAUAAAUUUAGAAUUUAAUAAAGUAUAUAAUGAGUAUACAGAUAAUA
rnacentral:tRNA from 1 species